AGCAGCCGCGGUAAUUCCAGCUCCAAUAGCGUAUAUUAAAGUUGUUGCAGUUAAAAGCUCGUAGUUGAAUUUCGGGAUCAAUUAAUUGGUCGUGCCUCUGGUACGUACUGAUUUUAUUGGUUUCUCCCUUCUGACGAACCAUGAUGUCAUUAAUUUGGUGUCGUGGAGAAUCAGGACUGUUACUUUGAAAAAAUUAGAGUGUUUAAAGCAAGCUAACGCUUGAAUACAUUAGCAUGGAAUAAUGAAAUAGGACGUUUGAUCCUAUUUUGUUGGUUUCUAGGAUCGACGUAAUGAUUAAUAGGGAUAGUUGGGGGCAUUAGUAUUCAAUUGUCAGAGGUGAAAUUCUUGGAUUUAUUGAAGACUAACUACUGCGAAAGCAUUUGCCAAGGAUGUUUUCAUUAAUCAAGAACGAAAGUUAGGGAUCGAAGACGAUCAGAUACCGUCGUAGUCUUAACCAUAAACUAUGCCGACUAGGGAUCGGAUGAUGUUAAUUUUUUAAUGUACUCAUUCGGCGUCCG
rnacentral:misc_RNA from 1 species